GAUGAACGCUGGCGGCGUGCCUAAUACAUGCAAGUCGAGCGAACGGACGAGAAGCUUGCUUCUCUGAUGUUAUCGGCGGACGGGUGAGUAACACGUGGAUAACCUACCUAUAAGACUGGGAUAACUUCGGGAAACCGGAGCUAAUACCGGAUGAUAUUUUGAACCGCAUGGUUCAAAAGUGAAAGACGGUCUUGCUGUCACUUAUAGAUGGAUCCGCGCUGCAUUAGCUAGUUGGUAAGGUAACGGCUUACCAAGGCAACGAUGCAUAGCCGACCUGAGAGGGUGAUCGGACACACGGGAACUGAGACACGGUCCAGACUCCUACGGGAGGCAGCAGUAGGGAAUCUUCCGCAAUGGGCGAAAGCCUGACGGAGCAACGCCGCGUGAGUGAUGAAGGUCUUAGGAUCGGAAAACUCUGUUAUUAGGGAAGAACAUAUGUGUAAGUAACUGUGAACAUCUUGACGGUACCUAAUCAGAAAGCCACGGCUAACUACGUG
rnacentral:rRNA from 1 species